CUACCUAAGGGAUUCAUGUUAAAAUGUCAUAGUUUAUUAUCCAAAUAUCUUUUUAAAAACUCUUUUGUUUAGAAUACAGCAAAAUCUAAAUUUCAGUGCCACCGGAAAUAAUUUUAUGUUAGGCAUAAAUGUUUGCUUUCGAUAAACUUCCGCAUAAAUUUAUUUAUUUUUUUUUAUUUGAAACGGUGUUUUAAAUUUUUUCGAAUAACAGCUUACUUUUCACAUACGGAAGCAAGAGAUCAGAAAAGAAAAAUUCUAUAAGAUAAACACUACUUUUUGAACUACUUGCCUGUUUGGCCAGUCCCAUAUUGUUAUCACGCGUAAAUGCUUCACUGUACUUGAGUAUGAUGAUGCGCAGCUCUUCGCUAGACGAAUUCGCGUACACAUUGACCAGGUCGUGGUAGUGAUUGGCCAUCG